GAACGGCUCAUUAUAAACAGCUAUAAUUUACUUUGAUCUUGACUUCCUACUUGGAUAACUGUGGUAAUUCUAGAGCUAAUACAUGCACCAAAGCUCCGACCUUACGGGAAGAGCGCAUUUAUUCGAACAAAACCAAGCGGCUUCGGCCGUCCGCAGUUGACUCAGAAUAACUAAGCUGAUCGCAUGGUCUUGAACCGGCGACGUGUCUUUCAAGUAUCUGCCUUAUCAACUUUCGAUGGUAGUGUAUCUGACUACCAUGGUGGUGACGGGUAACGGAGGAUAAGGGUUCGACUCCGGAGAAGGGGCCUGAGAAAUGGCCACUACGUCUAAGGAUGGCAGCAGGCGCGCAAAUUACCCACUCUCAGAAUGAGGAGGUAGUGACGAGAAAUAACGAGACCGUUCUCUACGAGGCCGGUCAUCGGAAUGGGUACAAUUUAAACCCUUUAACGAGUAUCUAUGAGAGGGCAAGUCUGGUGCCAGCAGCCGCGGUAAUUCCAGCUCUCAAAAUGCAUAGAAUUAUUGCUGCGGUUAAAAAGCUCGUAGUUGGAUCUGUGCCGGUGGACCCGGUCCACUCGAAAGGGUGCGCACUGGGCUCCCCGGCUUUCUGCCGGUUUUCCCGUCGUGGCCUUAACUGGUUGCGGCGGGUGGCUGGCGAUUUUACCUUGAAUAAAUCAGAGUGCUUAAAACAGGCGUUUCGCUUGAAUGUUCGUGCAUGGAAUAAUAGAAAAGGAUUUCGGUUCUAUUUUAUUGGUUUUAUAGACUGAGAUAAUGGUUAACAGAGACAAACGGGGGCAUUCGUAUUGCUGCGUGAGAGGUGAAAUUCUUGGACCGCAGCAAGACGAACUACAGCGAAAGCAUUUGCCAAGAAUGUCUUCAUUAAUCAAGAACGAAAGUCAGAGGUUCGAAGGCGAUCAGAUACCGCCCUAGUUCUGACCGUAAACGAUGCCAACUAGCGAUCCGCCGGUGGAUGCAUUGCCCUGGUGGGGAGCUUCCCGGAAACGAAAGUCUUCCGGUUCCGGGGGAAGUAUGGUUGCAAAGCUGAAACUUAAAGGAAUUGACGGAAGGGCACCACCAGGAGUGGAGCCUGCGGCUUAAUUUGACUCAACACGGGAAAACUCACCCGGCCCGGACACCGUAAGGAUUGACAGAUUGAUAGCUUUUUCAUGAUUCGGUGGAUGGUGGUGCAUGGCCGUUCUUAGUUA
rnacentral:rRNA from 1 species